UACGAAGGGGGCUAGCGUUGUUCGGAAUUACUGGCCGUAAAGCGCACGUAGGCGGAUCGAUCAGUCAGGGGUGAAAUCCCAGGGCUCAACCCUGGAACUGCCUUUGAUACUGUCGAUCUGGAGUAUGGAAGAGGUGAGUGGAAUUCCGAGUGUAGAGGUGAAAUUCGUAGAUAUUCGGAAGAACACCAGUGGCGAAGGCGACUCACUGGACACGUAUUGACGCUGAGGUGCGAAAGCGUGGGGAGCAAACAGG
rnacentral:rRNA from 1 species